rnacentral:lncRNA from 1 species
CUACCACGUUAUGCUGUGUGCAUGUAGGAACACAGCACGAUGAGUCAUAUAUAUUUAUAUAGUGAUAAUGCACUAAUUAAAACAAUAAUAAUAAUAAUAAUAAUAAUAUUAGAAGGGAGAUAUUAGAGAGGAUCGGAGCAAGUGCACCGCAGGAGGGAGGAGGAAAGGAAAGGGAGGUAAAAUUCUGUUCUGUGCAUGUACGAGCUUGACACGAGGAAUCCCACUAUUAUGUGUAAUUAUCAGGCACCAAUAAAAAUCCAUAUCACUAAUAAAAAUAUAUAAAAUGAGGAGCAUUAACAGAUGAUCAAGGUAUGAUAAAGUUAUUGACUGAAUCAAAGGAGAUCAGAUGACUGUAAGGCACUUAACUGGUGUUGUGGCCAUAGAAACCCCUCACUCAACGUUCACUCUUACGACCCUAUGACCACAGUCACCCUGGCCACUGGUCUGGGUGGGAGGAUGCAAACAUGUAACACAGGGGCCUCCUGGAGUCCUGGAGGGGCGGGGAGUUGCAGUGAGUACCAAUUAGCAAUUCUAGAUUUUUCUCCUUGUUCUGUUCCAUAAGAUUGGAGACUUUUUAGUUCACAUCUGUUUUAGGAACAGAUUAACUUGCUGAAGAAAGUGUCUCAUGCAUCCUUCUCUCUUUUUAAAGAUCUUUGUUUUCUGUUCAAGUGUCUCUCUUUUCCGCCAGAGUGAGCUGUUGGCCACAUCAGGAAUCAAGGCUUCCAAAACCACAGGCAGCCUGCGCUGGGUCCUGCUGGGGGAAGCCGUGGUCUUGCUGGCCAGCAGGGCCCUGUCCAUCUGUAGUUGACUACAGACACCACCAGCAGUAAACUAACGCUACAGAAUGACAAAGACUGAAGUUCCUUAGAGGAAUGGAGGCUGGCCUCCUGCAGGUACCUAAUCCACUAUGAAGCUCUAUCUGUUCUGACUCCUAAGUAGCUCUGGAUUCCUCCCUGUCCCAGGCUUAUCCUCUCCUUCUCCUGUUCCUGUUUCUCCUCCUCAUUGACCAUUUUGUCUCUCCCUGACCUGUUCCUUUCUGAAUAAUUCUCACCUUUGGUUUACCUUGAUUCCAGGAUCACAGGAUAGACAAGUAUCUACGCUGGGAUGGAAACUUGGAAAUUGAAACUACCUCUCAGGCAGCAGCGGUUCCCCUGCUGACGAGACCUUGCAGGACCAGUGCCAGGGUCAUGAUCAACCAGACCCGACCUGACCAAGAUGGCCAGCUCUGCAAAUCCCCUCAGCUCUUGCCUUACCCCAAAGCUGUUGCCGACACCCCAAAGACAGCACUCAGACCUGUCUUCCCCAUGGGGCAGUGCUGAGAAUAAACCCUUUUCUGCUUUACUGUU